CUAUGUGCUCCUAGACACUAUAAUUCAGAUUUUUAUUAUGCAGGGAAAAGUGCUUUUGUAGGAAUAAAACCCAUUACCACCAAAAGUCCAAAUAAUUGAAUGUGCUCUAAAGUCAGGUUUUUUCUGUGCAAAUUCAGUAUGCCAGAUAGGGAAGGAAAAACUUAGAGGAAAGGAACAGGCUAUUUCAUAUAGAGCCUGCACUGUCAACUCACAGAAGAAAAUUUUCUUCUAGAAAGGAGAAUUUUAUAUCUUAAGGAAUUAGAAAUGAAUUCAGGCACAAGAUCAUGUAGAACACUCUCAAUUUUCCUACAGGGCUAGACUAGGCAAUGUGAAAGGCAGAAUAGCACCAGUACUUUUCAUACCCAGUUACUCAACAGUUGUGGGAAAAGUCUCCACUGCUCACAGUCUUUAGCCUCUGUGUAAGACCAUAGGUUUUUAAACAGCACCAGCAAUCUCAUGUUUUUAAAGGAGAAAUAGCAAUCCAGGAUAGCAAGUCAGCAACUCACAAGAGUUUCUGCACAAAGGACUGAAAACCUAACAUACUCAUUGGCUGUGUCGAUGGUUACUGGAUUUGCUGUCCAUUGACUUGACCUGACUGUUUAUUUUCUUGUGCUGUGCUGUCUGUACGUCUCCUCACUUGAUGAGAUUGGAAGAAAGAACACAGGGGAAUCUGCUGCUUGAAGUCACUUGAUGUCAAAGCUGAUCUGAGGAACUGCACACACUGACUGACCAAGAGAGAGAGGAAGAACCGUAGGCUUUCUGCAGAAGUAUUCAUCAAGCGGGAAACGCAGCGGAUGGUGUUACAGAGUGCAGGAUACCUGUCUCAUUUCAAUGCAACUCCUCUUCUGGAAGCAAGAAAUCCUUCACAGAUAAUGAAAACAAACUUUGGUUAA
ensembl:lncRNA